rnacentral:rRNA from 1 species
AGUGAACGCUGGCGGUAGGCCUAACACAUGCAAGUCGAACGGCAGCACAGUAAGAGCUUGCUCUUACGGGUGGCGAGUGGCGGACGGGUGAGGAAUACAUCGGAAUCUACUUUUUCGUGGGGGAUAACGUAGGGAAACUUACGCUAAUACCGCAUACGACCUACGGGUGAAAGCAGGGGAUCUUCGGACCUUGCGCGAUUGAAUGAGCCGAUGUCGGAUUAGCUAGUUGGCGGGGUAAGGGCCCACCAAGGCGACGAUCCGUAGCUGGUCUGAGAGGAUGAUCAGCCACACUGGAACUGAGACACGGUCCAGACUCCUACGGGAGGCAGCAGUGGGGAAUAUUGGACAAUGGGCGCAAGCCUGAUCCAGCCAUACCGUGUGGGUGAAGAAGGCCUUCGGGUUGUAAAGCCCUUUUGUUGGGAAAGAAAAGCAGCAGGUUAAUACCCCGCUGUUCUGACGGUACCCAAAGAAUAAGCACCGGCUAACUUCGUG